rnacentral:rRNA from 1 species
AUUGAACGCUGGCGGCAGGCCUAACACAUGCAAGUCGAACGGUAACGGGAAGCAGCUUGCUGCUUCGCUGACGAGUGGCGGACGGGUGAGUAAUGUCUGGGAAACUGCCUGAUGGAGGGGGAUAACUACUGGAAACGGUAGCUAAUACCGCAUAAUGUCGCAAGACCAAAGAGGGGGACCUUCGGGCCUCUUGCCAUCGGAUGUGCCCAGAUGGGAUUAGCUUGUUGGUGGGGUAACGGCUCACCAAGGCGACGAUCCCUAGCUGGUCUGAGAGGAUGACCAGCCACACUGGAACUGAGACACGGUCCAGACUCCUACGGGAGGCAGCAGUGGGGAAUAUUGCACAAUGGGCGCAAGCCUGAUGCAGCCAUGCCGCGUGUAUGAAGAAGGCCUUCGGGUUGUAAGGUACUUUCAGCGGGGAGGAAGGGAGUAAAGUUAAUACCUUUGCUCAUUGACGUUACCCGCAGAAGAAGCACCGGCUAACUCCGUGCCAGCCGCCGCGGUAA